rnacentral:lncRNA from 1 species
AUUAGUUGGUCCAUGAGCCCAUUAUAUUAUUACACCCUAAACCUAUAUAUUGCUCUCAUUUGUGAAGGAGCCGUGUGUGUGUGCAAUUGAAAAGAGGCAGCCUACAUUUUUCUCUAGUUUUCUCUCUUGAGCCAAAAAUUGAAUAUGUCUUCCUCUAUUCUUUGUGAUUCAUUGCAGCCAUCAUAUUGUGUUCUUUGUGAACACAU